CAUGCAAGUCGAACGGGGAACAUUUUAAAGAAGCUUCGGCAGAUUUAGUUUGUUCCUAGUGGCGGACGGGUGAGUAACGCGUGGGUAACCUGCCUCACACUGGGGGAUAACAGUCAGAAAUGACUGCUAAUACCGCAUAAGCGCACAGAGCCGCAUGGCUCAGUGUGAAAAACUCCGGUGGUGUGAGAUGGACCCGCGUUGGAUUAGCCAGUUGGCAGGGUAACGGCCUACCAAAGCGACGAUCCAUAGCCGGCCUGAGAGGGUGGACGGCCACAUUGGGACUGAGACACGGCCCAGACUCCUACGGGAGGCAGCAGUGGGGAAUAUUGCACAAUGGGGGAAACCCUGAUGCAGCGACGCCGCGUGAAGGAAGAAGUAUCUCGGUAUGUAAACUUCUAUCAGCAGGGAAGAAAAUGACGGUACCUGACUAAGAGUCCGAYMUUCG
rnacentral:rRNA from 1 species